rnacentral:rRNA from 1 species
AUUGAACGCUGGCGGCAUGCUUUACACAUGCAAGUCGAACGGUAACAGGUCUUCGGAUGCUGACGAGUGGCGAACGGGUGAGUAAUGUAUCGGAACGUGCCCAGUAGUGGGGGAUAACUACUCGAAAGAGUGGCUAAUACCGCAUGAGAACUGAGGUUGAAAGCGGGGGACCUUCGGGGCCUCGCGCUACUGGAGCGGCCGAUAUCAGAUUAGGUAGUUGGUGGGGUAAAGGCCUACCAAGCCGACGAUCUGUAGCUGGUCUGAGAGGACGACCAGCCACACUGGGACUGAGACACGGCCCAGACUCCUACGGGAGGCAGCAGUGGGGAAUUUUGGACAAUGGACGCAAGUCUGAUCCAGCAAUGCCGCGUGCAGGACGAAGGCCUUCGGGUUGUAACUAGCUUUUGUACUAGACGAAAGGGACUCUGGUUAAUACCUAGGGGCAGAUGACGGUACUGUAAGAAUAAGCACCGGCUAACUACGUAGCCAGCAGCCGCGGUAAAG